rnacentral:sRNA from 1 species
CCUAUUCGCCUAACGUCAAUAUGAAAAGUUUAUCGCUUAUUUUAGGAGUUGUUGUGCUCGGUCUAUUUUAUGGCCAAAGUGAAGCUUUUGACUUUGGAACAGGGUAUCCACCAACAUUCGAUUAUGAUUAACGCUAAUGUCUGUGCGGUAUUUCAAGGUUUUAUGGCUCGAUUUCGAAGAUUUGAAGAUAAAAAUAAUUUGAAGUUUUAAAUAAUAAAUUAACAACAAAUAAA